GGGGAGUACCUAGCAGUACACAGGAAGCUU
rnacentral:piRNA from 1 species